rnacentral:rRNA from 1 species
GACGAACGCUGGCGGCGUGCUUAACACAUGCAAGUCGAGCGGUAAGGCCCUUUCGGGGGUACACGAGCGGCGAACGGGUGAGUAACACGUGGGUGACCUGCCUUUAGCUCUGGGAUAAGCCUGGGAAACUGGGUCUAAUACCGGAUACGACUCCGCGGUGCAUGCUGUGGGGUGGAAAGCCUUGUGCGGCUGGAGAUGGGCCCGCGGCCUAUCAGCUUGUUGGUGGGGUGAUGGCCACCAAGGCGACGACGGGUAGCCGGCCUGAGAGGGCGACCGGCCACACUGGGACUGAGACACGGCCCAGACUCCUACGGGAGGCAGCAGUGGGGAAUCUUGCGCAAUGGGCGAAAGCCUGACGCAGCGACGCCGCGUGAGGGAUGACGGCCU